rnacentral:rRNA from 1 species
UACGUAGGGUGCGAGCGUUAAUCGGAAUUACUGGGCGUAAAGCGUGCGCAGGCGGUUUUGUAAGACAGAGGUGAAAUCCCCGGGCUCAACCUGGGAACUGCCUUUGUGACUGCAAGGCUUGAGUGUGGCAGAGGGGGGUGGAAUUCCACGUGUAGCAGUGAAAUGCGUAGAGAUGUGGAGGAACACCGAUGGCGAAGGCAGCCCCCUGGGCUAACACUGACGCUCAUGCACGAAAGCGUGGGGAGCAAACAGG